CCUACGGGUGGCUGCAGUGGGGAAUAUUGCGCAAUGGGCGAAAGCCUGACGCAGCGACGCCGCGUGAGGGAUGAAGGUCUUCUGAUCGUAAACCUCUGUCAGUAGGGAAGAACGGUCACUGUGCUAAUCAGCAGUGCAUUGACGGUACCUGCAAAGGAAGCACCGGCUCACUCCGUGCCAGCAGCCGCGGUAAUACGGAGGGUGCGAGCGUUAAUCGGAAUUAUUGGGCGUAAAGCGCUCGUAGGCGGUAUGUCAAGUCAAGGGUGAAACCCCCGCGCUCAACGUGGGAACUGCCUUUGAAACUGGCAGACUGGAGUGUGUGAGAGGGUAGUGGAAUUCGAGGUGUAGGAGUGAAAUCCGUAGAUAUCUGGAAGAACAUCAGUGGCGAAGGCGACUAUCUGGAACGUAACUGACGCUGAGGAGCGAAAGCGUGGGUAGCAAACAGGAUUAGAUACCCGAGUAGUC
rnacentral:rRNA from 1 species